GAUGUAAAAAAGAAAGAGUAAGAGAGUGUAAAUGAGAGAGGUUAAUGCUAGGAGAUGUAAAAAAGAAAGAGUAAGAGAGUGUAAAUGAGAGAGGUUAAUGCUAGGAGAUGUAAAAAAGAAAGAGUAAGAGAGUGUAAAUGAGAGAGGUUAAUGCUAGGAGAUGUAAAAAAGAAAGAGUAAGAGACUGUAAAUGAGAGAGGUUAAUACUAGGAGAUGUAAAAAAGAAAGAGUAAGAGAGUGUAAAUGAGAGAGGUUAAUGCUAGGAGAUGUAAAAAAGAAAGAGUAAGAGAGUGUAAAUGAGAGAGGUUAAUGCUAGGAGAUGUAAAAAAGAAAGAGUAAGAGAGUGUAAAUGAGAGAGGUUAAUACUAGGAGAUGUAAAAAAGAAAGAGUAAGAGAGUGUAAAUGAGAGAGGUUAAUGCUAGGAGAUGUAAAAAAGAAAGAGUAAGAGACUGUAAAUGAGAGAGGUUAAUGCUAGGAGAUGUAAAAAAGAAAGAGUAAGAGACUGUAAAUGAGAGAGGUUAAUGCUAGGAGAUGUAAAAAAGAAAGAGUAAGAGACUGUAAAUGAGAGAGGUUAAUGCUAGGAGAUGUAAAAAAGAAAGAGUAAGAGACUGUAAAUGAGAGAGGUUAAUGCUAGGAGAUGUAAAAAAGAAAGAGUAAGAGAGUGUAAAUGAGAGAGGUUAAUGCUAGGAGAUGUAAAAAAGAAAGAGUAAGAGACUGUAAAUGAGAGAGGUUAAUACUAGGAGAUGUAAAAAAGAAAGAGUAAGAGAGUGUAAAUGAGAGAGGUUAAUACUAGGAGAUGUAAAAAAGAAAGAGUAAGAGACUGUAAAUGAGAGAGGUUAAUGCUAGGAGAUGUAAAAAAGAAAGAGUAAGAGAGUGUAAAUGAGAGAGGUUAAU